AUUGCCCUAGUAACGGCGAGUGAAGCGGCAACAGCUCAAAUUUGAAAUCUGGCCUUCGGGUCCGAGUUGUAAUUUGUAGAGGAUGCUUUUGGUGAGGUGCCUUCCGAGUUCCCUGGAACGGGACGCCAUAGAGGGUGAGAGCCCCGUCUGGUUGGACACCGAUCCUCUGUAAAGCUCCUUCAACGAGUCGAGUAGUUUGGGAAUGCUGCUCUAAAUGGGAGGUAUAUGUCUUCUAAAGCUAAAUAUUGGCCAGAGACCGAUAGCGCACAAGUAGAGUGAUCGAAAGAUGAAAAGCACUUUGAAAAGAGAGUUAAAAAGUACGUGAAAUUGUUGAAAGGGAAGCGCUCAUGACCAGACUUGGGCUUGGUUGAUCAUCCAGGGUUCUCCCUGGUGCACUCUUCCAGUUCAGGCCAGCAUCAGUUCGCUGCGGGGGAUAAAGGCUUUGGGAAUGUGGCUCCCUCGGGAGUGUUAUAGCCCAUUGCGUAAUACCCUGUGGUGGACUGAGGACCGCGCUUCGGCAAGGAUGCUGGCGUAAUGGUCAUCAGUGACCCGUCUUGAAACACGGACCAAGGAGUCGUCUUCGUAUGCGAGUGUUCGGGUGUUAAACCCCUACGCGUAAUGAAAGUGAACGCAGGUGAGAGCUUCGGCGCAUCAUCGACCGAUCCUGAUGUUCUCGGAUGGAUUUGAGUAAGAGCAUACGGGGCCGGACCCGAAAGAAGGUGAACUAUGCCUGUAUAGGGUGAAGCCAGAGGAAACUCUGGUGGAGGCUCGCAGCGGUUCUGACGUGCAAAUCGAUCGUCAAAUAUGGGCAUGGGGGCGAAAGACUAAU
rnacentral:rRNA from 1 species